UACAGAGGGUGCGAGCGUUGUUCGGAAUUACUGGGCGUAAAGCGCGCGCAGGCGGCCCUUUAAGUCCACUGGUGAAAGACCGGGGCUCAACCCCGGAGUCAGCCCAGGGAUACUGGAGGGCUGGAGACAGGUGAGAGGCAAGCGGAAUUCCGGGUGUAGCGGUGGAAUGCGUAGAUAUCCGGAAGAACACCGGAGGCGAAGGCGGCUUGCUGGACCUGGUCUGACGCUGAGACGCGAAAGCGUGGGGAGCAAACAGG
rnacentral:rRNA from 1 species